GCUUGGAUAGCAGCUAAUGUGGCUGCAAUAGGAUCCAAGGGAGUUUCGGUGUGGUUCUCCAUCUGCGGAUGCAAAGAGAAGUGACAAAAACAACAAGUAUCAACGAACGGGUAAUAAAAGAAAUCGAACGAGAGCAAACUAAAAAUCGACAAUUUCUUUUUUUUUUUUUGAACUUAAGUAACGAUUAACUCAAGCAACUGCAAGAUUACUACUAAAUAUAUAUAUUUUUUUAAAGUUAUGCAAAACAAACUAGCAACCUAUAACGAACACAAGUGCAACAAAGAGAUACUAGAAAUUUUUUUUUUUUUUGACUUAAGAUGAACGAAACAAAAGCUAAAACGAAAGUAAAGGAGGGAUACAACCUAAGGUGUAGAACCUUUCGGCUCUGAUACCAGAUGAUAUACGCUCCAAGGGCCACACGUACGCACGAAUUAG
rnacentral:lncRNA from 1 species